rnacentral:rRNA from 1 species
AACGAACGCUGGCGGCAUGCCUAACACAUGCAAGUCGAACGAGACCUUCGGGUCUAGUGGCGCACGGGUGCGUAACGCGUGGGAAUCUGCCCUUAGGUUCGGAAUAACUCAGGGAAACUUGAGCUAAUACCGGAUAAUGACUUCGGUCCAAAGAUUUAUCGCCUGAGGAUGAGCCCGCGUAGGAUUAGCUAGUUGGUGAGGUAAAGGCUCACCAAGGCUACGAUCCUUAGCUGGUCUGAGAGGAUGAUCAGCCACACUGGGACUGAGACACGGCCCAGACUCCUACGGGAGGCAGCAGUGGGGAAUAUUGGACAAUGGGCGAAAGCCUGAUCCAGCAAUGCCGCGUGAGUGAUGAAGGCCUUAGGGUUGUAAAGCUCUUUUACCCGGGAUGAUAAUGACAGUACCGGGAGAAUAAGCUCCGGCUAACUCCGUGCCAGCAGCCGCGGUAAUACGGAGGGAGCUAGCGUUGUUCGGAAUUACUGGGCGUAAAGCGCAC